rnacentral:rRNA from 1 species
GACGAACGCUGGCGGCGUGCCUAACACAUGCAAGUCGAACGGAAAGACCCUGAUUUCGUGGGGUGCUCGAGUGGCGAACGGGUGCGUAACACGUGAGUAACCUGAUCUUGUUUUUGGGGUAACUUAAGGUAAGUGGGGUUAAUAUAGGAUCGGAGACCAUGCUGGAUGGUGGGGGUUGGAUAGUUUCGGCGGUCGUGGAUGGAUUCGCGGAUGUUGAGCUUGUUGGUGGGGUAGUGGCUUGCCCAGGCUUUGGAGGGUCGCCCGCCUGGGAGGGUGGCCGGCCACAAUGGGACUACGAUACGCCCCAGACGCCUACGGUAGACAGCAGUGGGGAAUAUGGCACAAUGGGCGGGAGCCUGAUGCAGCAACGCCGCGGGCGGGAUGACGGCCUGCGGGGAGUAAACCGCUGUCGCCUGUGACGAAGCGUGAGUGACGGUAAUGAGUGAAGAAGCACCGGCUAACUACGUG